GGGGACGCGUGGUUUCGACAGGGGGUAGCAGAGCGGGAUUGCAGGCCGAGGUCCGCCCUCCUCGUUAAACAGGCGGAACAAAAGUAACUGGCGAGCGCGAAUACGCUCUGGCUGCCUAAAAAGGCAGCCCGUCUGGCCUCUUCUUCCCUGAAGGGGAGCUCCGGGCGCAACUAAAUCAGGGUGCGACCUAAGCAGACGCCGAUAAGCGACGGUCAAAGACUUAAUCCGGCUGGCCAAACUAGACCCUGUCACUGGGGGAUAGUGCGGUAAGAACCAAAUCAGUGACUACGCCUGGAGUAUAUCCCCUUGAGCGCUCUUUGGACGGGGAGUUCGACUCUCCCCCGUCUCCACCA
rnacentral:tmRNA from 2 species